UUUGGCACGUGGCGGAAGGAGGGAAGGUCUUCGUUUGUUUGAUGUUGAAAAUACAGUUUAGCUCAAAGAUGAAGACUUUGAAACAUAAAGGUUAUUUGAAAGGAGGAAAAACUCCCAAAGCAUCCACUGUUCUUGGUAUUGCUGUGGAAGAAAAACUACUUGGACCAGGCUUGGAGGAAUAAAAAUGUUAGACCAAGCAGCAUCAGAUAGAAAAAAGUCUGGCACUAAUGAACCAACCAGAGCACAGGACAACUCAAAGCAAAGCAAGAUCAGAAGAUGCAGAGAGUUCCGGCCCAUAGAAUGGCCAAGAGUUUGGCAUGACUGAGUGGAUAGCAUCUUCAUGCUGUGCAAAGUAGACUGCAGCAGCAAUUACACGGCAGCCUUCUGGUUUGGUUGAAUUCUGCUAUUCCUGGAAGAUCCUAUGCAUCUCCUGACACUUGAGGACAUAUCUUGUUUGCUGUUCCGACCAGUUUCAGAUGAUGGGACAAGGUUCAAUGCUGUGAAUCUAAUCUGGUUCAAAAGCAGAAGCAGGCCUUUUGAAAGCCCAACCAGGAAGACGGCAGUGGCAACUUGAAAUGGUGGGAGAAAUAUUUUGAAGCCCCCGUUUCUCAGGUACUCAGGUUAUUUGAAAGGAGGAAAAACUCCCAAAGCAUCCACUGCUGUAUUGCUGUGGAAGAAAAACUACUGGACCAGGCUUGGAGGAAUAAAAAUGUUAGACCAAGCAGCAUCAGAUAGAAAGAAGUCUGGCAUUAAUGAACCAGCAGAGCAUAGAACAACUCAAAGCAAAGCAAGCUCAGAAGAUGCGGAGAGUCCUGGCCCAUAGAAUGGCCAAGAGUUUGGCAUGACUGAAUGGAUAACACCCAUUCUUGUGCAACGUAGACUGCAGCAGCUUUUGUAGUGUUGGUUAUAGCAGGGGUCUCCAAAGCUUUGCUUUGCUGGCUGAGGAAUUCUGGGAGUUGAAGUCCGCAAGUUGCCAAGGUUGGAGAUCCUUGGGUUAUAGAACAAAACUGCACCUGUGAUUGGUAUUUGUAUUGGUAACGGUACAAACUCUUUGUGUUAUUCGAUUUUUCUUUGUUCACUUUAGUUUGUAAAUGAUCAUGUAUUGUUGAACAUUGAUGAACCUAAUAAUUUGAAUUCAGCUGAGCUAUGCUUUAAUAAGCCCUGCUUAGCCACAUUUUGGGGAUUCUGCUUGAGGUCUAUGGCUGAGUGGGGCUUAAGUUGUUGAGAGGACCUGUUAAGAACAGGAGGGACAUAAACCUGAACUGCCUUUCAGAGUCCUUUUUAUACAGUAUAUUACUGGAACUUAAUAAUCGGGUAUGUUGUGUUUUCCCCUCUUAACAUUGUUUUAUGGCUUUGCAAACCUUUAUGUAUUUAUACACAUAUAUGUAUUAAAGACCAGUACUAUUCAUUCUAUGUGCAAGUCUUCACAUUACUGAUUAGUUCAACUACAAAUUCAUUUCUAACACAAUUACAGAAAUAGUUCUCCAAUGGUUUCAUGAUCACUGAUUUGGCCAAAGUUGAGACUUAAUUUCCCCAACUGGCAUGUUACUGCAUUUCUGUACAUUCUGACCAGCUUGCAGUAUUGGUAUUGAGCCAGAGGUCUCCAAACUUGGCAAGCUAUGCUGGCUGGGGAGUUCUGGGAGUUGAAGUCCACAAGUCUUAAAAAUUGCCAAGUUUGGGGACCCCUG